rnacentral:rRNA from 1 species
AUUGAACGCUGGCGGCAGGCCUAACACAUGCAAGUCGAGCGGAUGAAGGGAGCUUGCUCCUGGAUUCAGCGGCGGACGGGUGAGUAAUGCCUAGGAAUCUGCCUGGUAGUGGGGGAUAACGUCCGGAAACGGGCGCUAAUACCGCAUCCGUCCUGAGGGAGAAAGUGGGGGAUCUUCGGACCUCACGCUAUCAGAUGAGCCUAGGUCGGAUUAGCUAGUUGGUGGGGUAAAGGCCUACCAAGGCGACGAUCCGUAACUGGUCUGAGAGGAUGAUCAGUCACACUGGAACUGAGACACGGUCCAGACUCCUACGGGAGGCAGCAGUGGGGAAUAUUGGACAAUGGGCGAAAGCCUGAUCCAGCCAUGCCGCGUGUGUGAAGAAGGUCUUCGGAUUGUAAAGCACUUUAAGUUGGGAGGAAGGGCAGUAAGUUAAUACCUUGCUGUUUUGACGUUACCAAUAGAAUAAGCACCGGCUAACUUCGUG